rnacentral:rRNA from 1 species
UGACGAACGCUGGCGGCGUGCUUAACACAUGCAAGUCGAACGGAAAGGCCCUGCUUUUGUGGGGUGCUCGAGUGGCGAACGGGUGAGUAACACGUGAGUAACCUGCCCUUGACUUUGGGAUAACUUCAGGAAACUGGGGCUAAUACCGGAUAGGAGCUCCUGCUGCAUGGUGGGGGUUGGAAAGUUUCGGCGGUUGGGGAUGGACUCGCGGCUUAUCAGCUUGUUGGUGGGGUAGUGGCUUACCAAGGCUUUGACGGGUAGCCGGCCUGAGAGGGUGACCGGCCACAUUGGGACUGAGAUACGGCCCAGACUCCUACGGGAGGCAGCAGUGGGGAAUAUUGCACAAUGGGCGGAAGCCUGAUGCAGCAACGCCGCGUGCGGGAUGACGGCCUUCGGGUUGUAAACCGCUUUCGCCUGUGACGAAGCGUGAGUGACGGUAAUGGGUAAAGAAGCACCGGCUAACUACGUGCCAGCAGCCGCGGUGAUACGUAGGGUGCGAGCGUUGUCCGGAUUUAUUGGGCGUAAAGGGCUCGUAGGUGGUUGAUCGCGUCGGAAGUGUAAUCUUGGGGCUUAACCCUGAGCGUGCUUUCGAUACGGGUUGACUUGAGGAAGGUGGGGGAGAAUGGAAUUCCUGGUGGAGCGGUGGAAUGCGCAGAUAUCAGGAGGAACACCAGUGGCGAAGGCGGUUCUCUGGGCCUUUCCUGACGCUGAGGAGCGAAAGCGUGGGGAGCGAACAGGCUUAGAUACCCUGGUAGUCCACGCUGUAAACGGUGGGUACUAGGUGUGGGGUCCAUUCCACGGGUUCCGUGCCGUAGCUAACGCUUUAAGUACCCCGCCUGGGGAGUACGGCCGCAAGGCUAAAACUCAAAGGAAUUGACGGGGCCCCGCACAAGUGGCGGAGCAUGCGGAUUAAUUCGAUGCAACGCGUAGAACCUUACCUGGGUUUGACAUGGAUCGGGAGUGCUCAGAGAUGGGUGUGCCUCUUUUGGGGUCGGUUCACAGGUGGUGCAUGGCUGUCGUCAGCUCGUGUCGUGAGAUGUUGGGUUAAGUCCCGCAACGAGCGCAACCCUUGUUCACUGUUGCCAGCACGUUAUGGUGGGGACUCAGUGGAGACCGCCGGGGUCAACUCGGAGGAAGGUGGGGAUGACGUCAAGUCAUCAUGCCCCUUAUGUCCAGGGCUUCACGCAUGCUACAAUGGCUGGUACAGAGAGUGGCGAGCCUGUGAGGGUGAGCGAAUCUCGGAAAGCCGGUCUCAGUUCGGAUUGGGGUCUGCAACUCGACCUCAUGAAGUCGGAGUCGCUAGUAAUCGCAGAUCAGCAACGCUGCGGUGAAUACGUUCCCGGGGCUUGUACACACCGCCCGUCAAGUCAUGAAAGUUGGUAACACCCGAAGCCGGUGGCCUAACCGUUGUGGGGGAGCCGUCGAAGGU